GGUGAGCAGGUCUGAGUUGUCCCCGGUGAACACAACGUCUUGCCCUGACGGCUGACAAACAGCGACUUAGCAACCAAUGCACGUGGAGAUAAAUUCCUCCCAAAAGGAAAGGACUUUCGGAGUUACAAGUAGAAAGUAGCGAACGCCUCGCCUCACCUCAACCCUCCCGUUCAGACUCUCUCAGUGUAGUGUCCUCACACCGCCGAGAUGAAAGCCUACCUCUCCUCCUAUUCCAGGAACGCGGCCCUCCGCACGGCCGAGGAAAGAGAUUGUAUGAGCAGUAAAGCAAUCAUGGGGGCAGGAUCAAAACAACUUCUGAAUUUGCCGCUUGGGGCCAAGCUUCCCUUGCUUCCAGGUAGUGGCGUUUUGCUGUACACAACGACACUGGGUGAAAAGCUUCACCAACCAUCUUGUGAGUUCAACCUCACGGACCCCAACUUGCACCUGUUAAAACUCAACUAUCAGAGCCUUCAUGAUCCUUAUUUAAGUGGUUACUACAGGCGUAAAGACAUACUGAAAAAGUUAAAAAAUCAGGGGCUUAUUACAGAAAACAAUAAGAUUAUUUGCACCCUGAAGGAAUUUAAUCAGUAUAGACAGUAUUUAACCAGUAUCAAAUUAGACUUUGAAAGGAAGUAUGCACAAGAACAGCGGCUACUUGCAAAGCAAUUACUGAAUCUUCAAGAUCAAGGUUUUGCUCAGGGGAUAAGCCUUUCUGAUCUGCAGGAAUGGCUCACAAAUGAAUCCAAGAAAAAUAUAAGUAAAAAGACUCUGAGGGACAGGUAUUUCAAUAUGAUUCAAACAGAAGAAAAGAUCAAAAACUUGAUAAAAGAACAGAAAUGCUGUGCGGUUCUGGCAGACUCAAGCAAAGAUAGUCAAAAGGCUAAAGAAUUGGUACACCAAAUUCAGCAAGAGGAAUUGAAUAUGAAGGACAGGUCCGUUUUAAUGCGACUUGAAGAAGAUGUGAAGAGUGAAUUUAAUCUGGAAAAAAGAAGACGGAAGGCAAAGGAAGAGAGAGCCAGAAAGAGACAAGAAUCAUUCGAAAGAAAAAUGGAUCACCAAAUUAAAAAACUGCAUGAGUUUAUUGAGCGACAAGAAGAGUACGAUCGAUGCAGAGGGGAAGGUGCUGAACGCAGAGAGAGAAUUGGUCAUCCCCGUGCUAGAAGAGAGAACAUGGUCCCUACUUACAAGUGAAUAGCGCUUCUAGCAAGCAUAAAUGAGCCUAGAUGAGUGUGGCUCCAACAAAACUGAAGAAGCUCGACACCAUCCAGGACAAAGCAGCCGGCUUGAUCGGCACCCCAUCCACCAUCUCCUUAAACAUUCAGUCCCUCUACCACCAACACACAAUGGCAACUGUGUGUACCAAAUACAAGAUACAUGGCAGCAACUUGCCAACUUCCUACGAUAGCACAUUCCAGCCUUAUAACCUCUACCAACUAGAAGGAAAAAGGCAGCAGAUAUAUGGGAACGGCAGCACCUGCAAGUUCCCCUCCAAACUACACACCACCCUGAAUUGGAAAUAUAUUGCGAUUCCUCCAAAGUCACCUGGAUCAAAAUUGUGGAACUAUUUCCCAACACCACCAUGGGUGUUAUGACAUCAGAUUGACCGCAGCAAAAAAAAGGAGGUGACUUAGCAUCACCUUCUUAAGGGCAGUUCAGAUUGGGCAACAAAUGCUGGUUUUGGUAACAACACCAUCAUUCCUUCAAAGAGUUAAAAAGUACAUAUGAGUAAAUUGUUUCACUUGGAAGUGCUGUUUGAAUCUUUGAAUUUUGAGAAGAGAAGGUGUAAAAGAUGUGGUGUUCCAUCAGCUGUGGUUGCAUGAAAGGUACUGCAAGAAAGGGACAUGGUAGUGGGGUAACUAAAGAAUGGACUCUGGCAUCAUGGAGAGAAUGGCCUUUUCAGAAUGCUGGAAGAAUAGGGUUGGGGAAGAUUUUUUUGAUGUUGAUCUUAAGAUGGAGGUGGCCAAAAUGACAGUGGAUCAUUAAUUGAAUAUAGAGGCUGGGUGUGAUAGAAGGCUGGGAGAAGAGAAUCUGUCAUGGUUUUGUGAGAGAUAGAAAAAGCUGAGUGCAGAAUACUUAAUAGAGUGGACAUGGUAGGGAGCCCAGUAAACCAUGCUGGGGGAUAGGGAAGGGAAUACUUGGAUGAGGGUAAAGGAAGACUUAGCAGAAGUACUGGUAUUGAAGUUGCAAAAUCUGAACAGAUGCAACAAAGAAGGAAAACCUGGCAGAGUGGAAAGGAGAGGGUGUGAGGAAGAGUAGGGAAGUUAAAGUUCCUGUGGGAGUCUGUAAGUUAUAUGAUAACUGACUCCAUUUCCAGUAAUAGGCUAAGCUUAGGAAAGUGAAGAGUCAGAAGUGAACUAAGUGAAGAUGAAUGGACAGAAACUGGAAAAAAAUGUCAUUGGAACUUUCCAGUUUUUGGCCAGACCAUGAAGCAUCAAUACUUUCAUCAUUUUGUCAGAAAAAAAGAGAGGGCAUUUAGGGAGAAGGAGUGUUGCUGGGUAACAUUGGAAUAAGCUAUUCAAUUUGUUUUUAGCUAGUUUGCGACUUACUGAUGAAUGUUUCUAACAUUUUGCACUUUCAUAUCAUUUGACAAUAUUUUCUGUUCAAGAUUAAAAUUACAGAUGUGUUCAUAUCACAAAAAACAGCUUGGACCCAAGCAGGCACUCAUGGCAAUAAAUUUUAUUUCGAGGAAGUGUGGAGUCGACUGACAAGUUGUUCAAAAUGGGAACGUGUUCAGUGAAGUUGCAAAGGGUGAUGAUGAAUAGAGACUGGUUAGGCUUUGUUCAAGGACAAAACAGCAAUUGAGCCAUCCUGCUGGAUGAAAGAGGUGCUGAAGGAUUGAGGUCCAUGUUAAAGAGGAAACUCUUAGGGCCAUGACAAAGGUAACAUUGAAAGUGACUUAAGGCAUCAGAAAAGUCACAGAUUUAGAUAGAAAAUGGAAGGACAAGGGAUGGAUGUUUUCUUGUAAACUUCUCUGCCAGAAGGCUGCUCAAACCCAGAACACAAUAACCUCCAUCCUGGGUCAGGCAAUGAGUCAGGUCCAAAGUAUGCAUCAGCCAGAAUGGAUGAAAUCCCAUACUGUUGGCACUACUGUGAUUCAGACAAGCAUUUUACCAGCUCACCAACCAGCCAUGGAGUUGCUGCGGCAAUGUUUAAUUUUACCUACAUAUUAUCGUCUGGAACUGUGUAUCGUGGUGGUAGAGGCUCCAGUCUCUGGUUCAUUAAUCGCUUUCAUGGAAGUGAAUCUGCCACUCUGCCAGUUUGAUCUACACUCCAAAGCUACAGCGUAGUAUUUUGACACCAUUAAGCCUGAAUUAUGACAGUCAGGGAGGGACAAUAAAUGCUGGCCAAGCUAGUGAUGUCAGCAUCCCAUGAAUGAAUUCAAAAAUAAUUGGGGCUAAAUCAGUGUUUUUUUAAAAAUUCUCUGUAACUUUUACUAGAUGUCUACAUUAAUAAACUCCGCAUAUAUCCUGUUAACCCUUUCUCAAUGUGCCUUGACAUUUCAAAGAUUUGUUCACAUAUACCCACUGGUCUUUUCUCCUGCAUCUUCUGAAAUUCUGUCAUUUAUUUUAUUUUGCUUUUCCUCAUUCUUCUUGCCAAAUUGUUUCACUUUCCACUCCUCUAUUAUACUUCAUCUGCCAUAUAGAACCACAGAAUCCCUAUUGUGUGAAAGCAGGCCAUUUGGCCCAUUGAGAUUACACUGACCCUCUGAAGAGCAUAACUCCCAGACCCACCUCCCUAUCCUAUCUCUGUAACCCUGCAUUUACUAUGCCUAACCCAUCCAGCCUGCACAUCCCUGGAUACUAUGGUCAAUUUAGCACGGCCAAACCACCUAACCUGCACAUCUUUGGUAUGUCCACCUGUUCCACCAAUCUGUUAUUUGCCUCUUGAAGCCUAUCAUAUAUGCCUCAAAUUUCAAGUUUUGUGUCAUCUACAUAUGUAGAAAUUGUGUCCUGCACACACAUGUCAUUCAUGUAGACCUAAAAAAGAAAUGCUCGUAACACUGACUGCUUGGAAACCCCAUUCUACAUCUCCAUCCAGUGUAAAAAAAACUAUUCGCUAUUAUUCAUUGAGAGACAGGCUGCAGGAACCAAAGAUCUGACUGGAGAUGGAAUACAGCUGUUAUAAAUGGAAUCCUGGUGGAAAUGGAAUGUGCCCUAAUUUCCGUGAGUACAUAUUCUAUUCCAGUGCCAACAAUCUCUGAAAAUGUUGAGCAAGUUUGAAGUCAAUACAAUCAAGGUGAUUUUCCAGAACUGGACUUUAGAGCUAUGCAGUAAUGGUAGCCGAAGAAAUCUCACAAGAUACAGAAAAAAGGAUGAUCAUAACAUGAAUUCAGUGAAUGAGUUGCUGUACAAUGAUGUUAACUUAUGACAUAGCAUUAAGACAAGUGAUGUGCUAUUUCACUUAAUAUGGGAUUACAUUUUGCUGAUGUUCUGUCGUGUUUCAAGUCUUCCAUUGUAUGACCAUGUCUUUUAUUUAAACAGGGGUUUCUAAAAAACCAGGCAAACCUGAUCCAAGAUGCCUAGAUGAGAAGUGGGCCCGGCUACACAGAGGUGAAUGUGCAAUACUCCCUGAAGGUCAUUCAGUAGUGCUUACAGAAAAACCAAAAUUGAAGGUUGCAAAACCUAAGGUGACUCUAGAAGACCUCAACAAAUUAAUUCAGAAUAUCAUAACAUUUGUAGUGACUGUGUUGACCAGCACCAUCUAUCCUGCCAU